AGUGAACGCUGGCGGCGUGCCUAAUACAUGCAAGUCGAACGGAGUGGCGCACGGGUGAGUAAUGUAUAGCUAAUCUGCCCUACGCUAGAGGACAACAGUUGGAGACGGCUGCUAAUACUCUAUAGUGUCGGAAGAGGCUAUAUUGUAUCAGCUAGUUGGUGGGGUAAUGGCUCACCCAGGCUAUGACGAAUAACUGGGCUGUGAGGAUGAUCAGUCAAACUGGAAGUGAGACACGGUCGAGAAACAUACGGGAAGCAGCAGUAGGGAAUAGUGCUCAAUGGGCGAAACCCUGAAGCAGCAACGCGGCGUGGAGGAUGACAAUUUUCGGAGCGUAAAGUCCUUUUGUUAGGGAAGCGGUACCUAACGAAUAAGCACCGGCUAACUCCGUGCCAGCAGCCGCGGUAAUAC
rnacentral:rRNA from 1 species